GUGGAAUUGCUGGAUCAUAUGGUGGUUCUAUUUUUAAUUUCUUGAGGAACUUCCAUGCUGUUUUAAAGAGGCAUAAUUUAUAACUGAGAUCCAGUGAGCUGUCCAGGACUACUGAGGUAUCUCGCUUCAUUACCGUGAAAGUUUUGGCCACACGAAUAUAGGGUCAUGCUAAAUUGCAAAAUCAGCAUGUGGUGUUAUGAAAAGAUCACUGACUCCGGCAUCAGGAGACCUGAGUCUUCAUCCCGUGGGAUAAUCAAUCAUAAUCUUCGUUUGUGAGCAUUACUAUAUCACUACGUGCAGGCAUCUUUGAACAUACUUUCUCUAGCCUGUGCAAUCCGGCAGCCAGGAAGAUAUUAUCAUCCUGUGUUCAAGUUGAAGAAACAAUUUUGGGGAGAUUAAGGGACCCUCCCAAGGUCACUAAACUAGUAAAUAGCAGAGUAAAAAUUCAAGCUCAAGACUGUCUCCUGAGGCUCUGUCUGCUGAACGCUCCAUAUUUCCCAUAGCUUUGUCUUUCCUUCUACCAUUCCUCCUUCUAGGAAUAUCCUUUUUGCUCACCUCAGUCUGUAUGACUUUUGGUUAUUCUUGAAGCCUGACUCCAGUCUAAGAUUUUGAGGAAGACUUCUAGGAACACUCCCAUCCACUGGUCUCUCCCCGUUGUAACCUCACAGCCCUUCUUAGUGCUGCUCCCUUGCUCACACUUGCUUAUAUGUCUCGUAUGUUCUCUGUAGCCUUUGUCACUUCCUAUUUAUUGUGAAUGGUGUUUUCAGUGUGACACCUUUCCCUCUCUCCUCUCGCUCAUUUAUGAAUUUGGCAGACGUUUGGGGAAAAUCAUUAAAAUAUAGAAAAAUACCAUAUAUCUUACUACCCCAAAUUAACAAAAUUUACCAUUUAAAAUUCCUGGUUUCAAAUAUUUUUCUUUAAAUAAAGAAAUAGCACCUUACCAAUCAAGUUGAGGUUUACAUUGCACGUUUUCCAAUCCCUUUCACCUUCUCCUUCUCCAGGGGUAACCACUAAUCUAAAUUUGGUACCUAACCUCUCAAUCUCUGUUUUUUAUUUUUUGUUACACACUGUGUAUUUGCAAGCAAUACAUAAUGUCAGUUUGUAAUCUCUUUUGCUAAAGAUAAUGUAAUUAUUGCAUAUAUCUUUUGAAAAUUUGCUUUUUCAUUCAAUAUAUUUUAAAAACUAGCCAUUUUACUAUUUUUAAAUUAAUUUAUUCAUUUAAAUUGUAGUAUUCCAUUUCAUGAACAUAAAUGUCUUAUUUAUCUAAUCCUCUAUUUAUGGGCAUUGAGGCUCUUAUAGGAAGCUACUUCAGUGUAUUGGUUUCUCCUUUACUAUUAGACACUAAAUUCUCUGACUGAGGGACUGUGGAUUAUGCCUCUUUUUGCUUAGCACUGUCAUCGCAAUCCAACAAAUGUAUGCUGAAUGAGUUGAUGAAAAUAUCUGAGCAAGUGAAGGUCUUCAACCUUGAGAAGGUUAACAUGAUUGAAAGCAGGUAUAGGGUGGCAUCAAAGAAGUCAGUUGAAAUAACAAUUUUUUUCUUGUAUUUAUGGGGAUGGAAAAGUAGGGUAAUAAAAAGCUACUUGAAAUAAUACUGAGGGGCAUGUGGGUGGCUCAGUCAGUUUAGCGUCUGACUCUUGGUUUCCGCCUGGGUUGUGAUCUCAUGGGUCAUGAGAUAGAGUCCCACGUCAGGCUCCAUGCUCGGUGUGUGGGGUGUUUGCUUGAGGAUUAUCUCCCUCUGCCCUUACACCCACUCAUGGGUGCUCCCUCUGUCUCUCAAAAAAAAAAAAAAAAGAAGUAAUAGAUGAGGAGGGGUAAGUUAGUAAAUUUUUUUGUGAUCCUAAUGAAAUUUGUGAAAGACUAGUAACAGAAAAUAUGUAAAAUAAUUGAGGAAGCUACAAGGAAAAAUGCUUAGAAAUGUGCUUAAGUAUGUCAGUGCUGAUUAUGGUCAGACGGUGGAAGUUCUGUAUCUACUUCUAACUGGGCCAUCUCCAUGAUUCACCUUGGAGAAAUCUAAUUACCCUUGAAUAUUUGACCUUCAAUGUGUCAACAUAAACAGUUUUUCAACCUGGUUUCAUGGAGAUCUGGCAGCUGUGCUUAACAGAUAACAUUUUCCUUGGAGGUAUUAAAGGCCAUGGUCUAUUUCUUUAAUUUUGUAUCUUCCCUUCUGACCCUUUUGCACUUUUGUUACUUUCUGAUUCUUAUCCAAAUGGAUAAUAUCCAAUGACGGGGAGAGAGGUGUGAAGUCAGGAGGUAGGGGUGACUGCAGGGAAGAAAUGAGUUUAUACUUGUGAAACCUUAGGGUAGUGUCUAUCACAGGUUUUGAUCGCAAGACCUGUUAAUUACUACUCCUUUCUUUUAUAUUUCUUACAGCAGAUAUAAAUUGUUAUUUUAUAGGCUCUAUUCUAAGUCUGCCAGAAUGAAUGCAGAACUCUUCAUGUUUCUUCAGCCCAAGGUUAUGAUUUGUUCUGAGAAUUCUGGUGGGCAAAGAGCAAGGGUCUCCACAGUGAGAAGAAGUGAACUCCAAACACUCUCCAUCCAUCAGGGUUAUCAAAUGAUAAGCAGGGACAGCAGGAUUGGGCUUUGAUUGGAGAAUUAGAAUGAAGCUGUAAUUAAGCUUAUUAUUUUAUAUGUAGCUUCUUGUGAUGUCUAUUGUAAUUUGGUAGCUAUAGAUCCACUCUCCCCUACUCGCCCAUCACUCAGUGAUCUAUUAAUUCAACAUUUAUUUGAUGAAUAUAAAGCACGUACGAGGGGCCUGAGAUGAUUCCAGGGACUUGAGAUAUGUGGAUGAACAAACAGGAAAGAAUUCCUCCCCUCCCAUAGCUUACGUUCUAGCUUGGGAGGACAGAAAAUGAACAAAAAAUAUGGUUAGUGAAUUGUAUAGCACAUGGGAAGGUGGUAAGUGCUAUGGAAAAAGAAAAGGUAGAUCCAGAUAAGGGAGAUCAGGAGGGCCUGAUAGAGGUAGGAUGGUCAAGUUUCAUUGACAAGGUGAGAAGUGAGCAAAAAAAUUGAAGGAGGUGAGGAAAUUGCCCAUGCAAAGAUAUGUGGGGGCAAAAGAGCUGACACCAAGGCCUGUCGUGUGUGGUGUGAGAAGCGCUGCUUGCCUGGAGUGAGUGAGCAAGGAAGGAAGCAAUCGGAGGUGAAAUCAGAGGGGUUAUGGAGGCCAGAUGAGGUAGGGUCUAUAGGCCAUUGUGAAAAUGUUGGUGAUCCAAUGGAGGGCUCAAAUUAGUGUUUCAAAAGACCACUCUGACUUCUGUGUUGAGAACAGGUUCUAAGGGACAAGAUCCAGGAGAGAGAUGGCAGUCGAGGUAAGAAGUAAUUCAAUUCUGACACAUUUUUAAACUAGAGCCAGUAUCCCAAUGGAUUAGAUGUAGGGUAUGAGAGAAAUAAAGGGACUAAAAUGCCCCAAAGACUUUUUUGACAGAGCAUCUGAAAAGAUGGAGCUUCCAUCAGCUGGACUGUCUGGAUUAGGUUUGGGCAAGAACAUGAAGGAUACUUUUUUUAUAAGUCUAUUAGCCAUCCGCAUAUACCAAUCUGGAGUUCAGGAAAAAGGUCUUGGUUAAAGAUGAUAUAAACUUGGGGUUUUUGGCAUAUAGAUAGAGUUUAAAACCAAGGGAUUGGAUAAGGUCACCAAGGGAGUGAACGCACAUAGAAAAGAAGACCAACAACUCAGUGCUGGGAGCCCUCCAACAUUAGGGCCUUGGGGUGCAGAAGAGAAAUCAGCAAAGAAAAAUGAGGAGUGACCAGUGAGGUAGGGAGAGAGGUGGGUGAGUCAUAGAUGCCCAACAGAGAAGGUGUAUUAAGGAGGGAGUGAUCACAUAUGUCAAAUGAUGACAAUGAAUUAAGUCAGAUGAGGAGUAACAGUUGACUCAUGGAUCUAACUCUGUGAAAGUCAUUUGAUAACAUUGAUGAGAGCAGUCAUGGGAUAUGUGGAAAUCAAUGGUUAAGGGAGAAUGGCAGGAGAUGAAUUGCAGAUAGCAAGUAGACUAAUAGUCAAGACUAGUCUCCUAAAUGGAAUUUGAGCACUCUGUGCUCAAAUACUCUUCCCCUGGCUCAUUAACGUGCCCAAAAUACCAAAGGCAGAAUUUCCUCACUUCCCUUUAGGAGAGCCCCUGUAUUCAACCACUGAAAAUGUAAAUAUCUUGAAAUUGGUAUCUCAAAGUUACUAAUAUUGUGGUAUGGAUUUGUCUGUUUGCACUAAUUCUUGGGGUGACAAUGAUAUUGUAGAAUUUCAGGGCUAUGUGAUUUUAGGUAUGUCAUAGCCCAGUCCCUAUUAACAGAGGUAUAUAUAGGGAAAGUGACUGGCUCAAGGUCACAUACUUGAUGGAUGACAGAGCUGACAUGAGGAUCCAGGAUUUCUGUUCCAGUGCCUUUUCAAUCUCAUAACAUUUUAUCUUGAAUUUGAUCCAACAUGUAUGUAGGACAAGUGAAGGCAGCAGGAGAUGUUAUGGAAAUGUCUGUUAUGUGAAAGAAAGAAUGAAUGAACAAAUAGAAGAGCAAAGACAAGGCAAAGUUUUAAAUGUAUGGGAAAACCAGUUGCGGGUUCAUCAGGCUGAUGGUAGGUAAGAUUUGCUGCGAGGUACAAGAGAAAAAAGCCAGGGUGAGAAAUCGUAACAGCUAAGGGAGCAAGAAGUGAGAGCUGCACACUGCAGCAUAAGUGCUUUUUACCUUGAAAGCAUCAGAGAUGUUUAAAAUUAUUUUAAAAGUAAGUGCAAACUGUUAAUGAGGGUUAAUGGAAGGGACUGAAGAUAGAGCAGCUCUUUAGUAACAAGAAUUGGGAUGAUGGCAUUUUUUAAAUCCUUGCUGACAACAUAAGAAAACUACUGACUGGGAGGCAGCAAGUUUACAACUGCCUGAAAAUAACCAGAUACAAGAGGUUUCAACUUGCUGGAACUCUUAUUAUAUGCUUGAAUGACUCCUGGAACAAAAGAAAUCUGUGCAUGAUUGUUUAGGAAAGUGUAAGAUAAACAAAGCGUAUGUUUUCUAACAUCUGACGAUAAUCUGAUAGCUGUAUUAUAUUGGUCUCUGCUCAUUUUAAGGUUAUGUGAUGAAGAUGACUUUAGUGGUUCUUAAGUUCAGUACAUAAAUAAAUGAUGUUAAGACUCCACUUUAACUUAUGCCCCUCAAUUUUUCAUACAUAUUUGCUGCUUUUCUUUCGGAAAAGAAAAUGUACAUUACUUGUUCUCCUGGAAACAUUCCAUCCUUUUUUAUGCUUUUCCUUUCUCUUUUGAAAGAUCCCCCUCACACUGCAUAAAUAGAAAUGUCCCUGAGAUUCAUUUGAUUUCAUGGAUGGCAGAGUGCUCAUUUCAAAUAUCUUUGGGAGAACCAGAUAAAAUAGCUACACUAUACUGCAUUACCUGAUUUAGUGCUGGGGACCGUUUGAGGACUAGAUGGCUAUGGGAAAUUGUAAUGGGAAACUCAAGUUGGUUUUCACUUCAAGUUCAGUGCUUUGAAUCCAGUGGAGUUGAGGGUAGUCAAAAGUUAUCACUCUCUGAUUUGACUGUUCACUGCUCCAAGGGAAAUAAGCCAGUGGUGCCUCUGUUUUGCAGGUGGGAAGGAAAACGCUCCUAUCACCUUGGUACUAAAGGGCAGUUCCUGAGCAGUGUCAGCAGAGAACUGGCUGGGAAAGGGGACUUGUCCUUUCUCUCUUGCAGCCAUGACUUUGUCAGGGCUAAGGCAUACUGGUGAAGCAGUUGGGGAAAUCCUACACUUCUGUUUAUCGGGCUGCAUCUAUUCUUGGGAGAAAGAGAAGCCAUCUAUUUCCAACGCUGUCAAUCUGGUAUCCCCAGCCACCACCAGAAGCCACUUCAAUUUAUUUCUCCAGUUCUUUACAGUUCUCUUUUGCAGAGAGUUUAUUGUAAAGAUGUAUUAACCAGUAAGACGCCUUUAGGAUAAAUUGUGUUCAACUUGGGAAGGAGAUAGCAACUUUGGCAAAGGUGCCCACGGUAGUUUAAGUAGGAGAAGAAAGUAGUAGAGCUUGACGCUGCUGGAAGUAUCACUGUGUCUGUCCGCUCUCUUGGUCCGCUCUCUUUCUAUUUGCAUGAGCUUUGCAUGAGCUUUGCAUUGCUUAUUCCCUCUUCUCACUAGCUUCCUUCCCUUCAUACUUAACAUUGCUCAUUCACUCUUGCAACUAUUAUUUAUUUAUUUACAUUUACAUUUAUACUUAUACAUUGCUCAUUCACUCUUGCAACUAUUAUUUAUUUAUUUACAUUUACAUUUAUACUUAUAUUUUUAUUUAUUUAUUGUAUUUGGUUAGUUAGUCAGUUCCUGCUCUCUUGAUUUUUGCUACCUACAAGGAGGAAGUAGACAUUCCUAUAAUAAUAUUGGAGCUUUCCCUCUGUAUUUGGUCAUAGGUACAGCAGGCUAGCUCCCCCCAGGGGAGGGACAUAGCACUUGAUCUUAACUAGCUAGGAUUAGGUGAUUUCCCUUGGCUUCAAGCUGUAUACAUAGAUUUCCCAGGGAAACCGAGUAGGGCCAGUUUCCCUUGGUGGCCAACCCUUGGCUUGAGGCAGAGAGGAAAAUGAUGUUUAGUUCCUUUUUCUCUGCAAACACAGAAUCAUUCAUGUGAAGUCUUAUUUUAUAAGUUUAAAUGAGCCUUCAACAGUGUUCUAGGCACUGACAGUAUUCGGAAGUCUGACUAAGCAAUGUCUCCAGCCUAGAGAAUUACUAGUGUAGGACAUUCAGCAGUGGGAAUCCUUGGGAAGGUACGACCGGUCCUUAAGAGCUAUGGAUAACGUAGUUGAUAACCAAUUUCUCCCUUUGCCAGGUGGAGCAAUGUAAAAUUAGGGAAAAAAAAUCCUAUGUGCUUUGGCAAACAAUUUUGAGUCUGCUGCUAAAAAAAUGAUGGAUAAAUUAAAAGAUGAGAGAAAUACAUCCAAGUGACUUUAACAGUCGAAUGCUGAGCAGUAAUUACACAUCAAGUCUGGAAUCACCAAACUGAAACAUAGGCUUGUCUCUUCUUUUUAUGUGUAGUCUGAGGUUUGUUUGAAAUUCUAAAGCAUUGUGCAGAUUAUUGGGAAAUGACUACAUGUAAAAAAGCAGAGGAAAACUUAAAAUGGGUCUAUUUUAGGUUAUUCUUUAGAUUUUCUGUAGGUUCUUAGGGAACUUUUGAAGCAUUUUGUUUCUAGUAUUAUUUCUUCCUAUGUCACUAGAUAUGCUUACUAAGCUUGGAAAAUGUGCAAGGGCUAUGUGACAUGGUCAUGACAUUGAAGUCCUUUUACUACUUUACCUUGUAGGACUCUAAAACACCAUCUGGUAGACAUUAGUCUCUUUAAUGCCCCUUGAGCAAGUCUCAACCCUAGAUUGUUAUCCCAUAGCAGAGGUCCUUUCCCUACCUUUGCUUCACCGAUUGACAUCUUCUGAUCUUUUAGUCUUCCAUUCAAUACUUGCUUUCUCCAGAGAAUACUUAAUGAAUGAGUGAAUAAACUGGGUACCAUUUUGUAAAUAAAUCUCAGCCCAGGAUUAUGACUAGGUGCCAAAAUGCCCCUUUCUCUCCUAAAUUUGUCUUAUUUUUUUCCCUUAGAUUUGGCUCUUUUUCUUUUCACCUUUCCUUUUUUCAAUUCCUGAUAUUAAUUUUUGACCUAUUAUUGCAAUUGGAGUGAGAAUGCAAAGCACAUGGGAACAAAAGUAUUCAACAUCUUUUAUUCAUUAAUGCAAUGUUUUCUGCUUCGUAUUUUUUUAUUAUCAAUGUAAAUUUUAAUAAAUUCCAGGUAGAAUUUUUUUAAAUGUCAAAGAGGUGCACACUCUGUGCACAGA